GAAACGUGAUCCACCUGAGUAGCUAAGGUUUCAGGCGUGAGCAAGCAGCACCCAGCAAGAACCAAGGUGUUGAGAGGUCUGGCAUGAGGGACUCCAUUUCAACUUGGAAGGCCUUUCACCCUCAUCUCUAGAAACUGUUUGUCUCUGAGCUGUUUCCUCGGAGGGUUUUUGGAUUGGUCGUUUUCAUCUUUCGACGUCUCAUGGAAGGACUUGCUUGGGCGGGCCUGGAAACGUGAUCCACCUGAGUAGCUAAGGUUUCAGGCGUGAGCAAGCAGCACCCAGCAAGAACCAAGGUGUUGAGAGGUCUGGCAUGAGGGACUCCAUUUCAACUUGGAAGGCCUUUCACCCUCAUCUCUAGAAACUGUUUGUCUCUGAGCUGUUUCCUCGGAGGGUUUUUGGAUUGGUCGUUUUCAUCUUUCGACGUCUCAUGGAAGGACUUGCUUGGGCGGGCCUGGAAACGUGAUCCACCUGAGUAGCUAAGGUUUCAGGCGUGAGCAAGCAGCACCCAGCAAGAACCAAGGUGUUGAGAGGUCUGGCAUGAGGGACUCCAUUUCAACUUGGAAGGCCUUUCACCCUCAUCUCUAGAAACUGUUUGUCUCUGAGCUGUUUCCUCGGAGGGUUUUUGGAUUGGUCGUUUUCAUCUUUCGACGUGAGGAUUAGUUUUUUUCUCUA